rnacentral:rRNA from 1 species
UACGUAGGGCGCGAGCGUUGUCCGGAUUUAUUGGGCGUAAAGAGCUCGUAGGCGGCUCGUUGCGUCGGCUGUGAAAACCCGCAGCUCAACUGUGGGCUUGCAGCUGAUACGGGCGGGCUGGGAUUCGGUAGGGGAGACUGGAAUUCCUGGUGUAGCGGUGAAAUGCGCAGAUAUCAGGAGGAACACCGGUGGCGAAGGCGGGUCUCUGGGCCGAUAUCGACGCUGAGGAGCGAAAGCGUGGGGAGCGAACAGG